rnacentral:rRNA from 1 species
UACGGGGGGGGCAAGCGUUGUUCGGAAUUACUGGGCGUAAAGGGCUCGUAGGUGGCCAACUAAGUCAGACGUGAAAUCCCUCGGCUUAACCGGGGAACUGCGUCUGAUACUGGAUGGCUAGAGUUUGGGAGAGGGAUGCGGAAUUCCAGGUGUAGCGGUGAAAUGCGCAGAUAUCAGGAGGAACACCGGCGGCGAAGGCGGGUCUCUGGGCCGAUAUCGACGCUGAGGAGCGAAAGCGUGGGGAGCGAACAGG